UACGAAGGGGGCUAGCGUUGUUCGGAAUUACUGGGCGUAAAGCGCACGUAGGCGAAUAUUUAAGUCAGGGGUGAAAUCCCGGGGCUCAACCCCGGAACUGCCUUUGAUACUGGGUAUCUCGAGUCCGAGAGAGGUGAGUGGAAUUCCGAGUGUAGAGGUGAAAUUCGUAGAUAUUCGGAGGAACACCAGUGGCGAAGGCGGCUCACUGGCUCGGUACUGACGCUGAGGUGCGAAAGCGUGGGGAGCAAACAGG
rnacentral:rRNA from 1 species